AGGCUAGCCAAGCUCUCAGCAAGAAAGGGGUGAAGGGUUGCUGGAAGAAGUUGCAGAUGAGAAGACAGGAAAUAUUCACACCCCCAACGGAGUGCCAGAGCUAAGCAGACAGCAAUAAGUGUAGAAGUAUGCGAGUAACAGCCAGAAUUUGCUGAAGUGCUGAGAGUGAAAAAGAAGUUUUACUGCCAAAUGACCAUCAGGAGAAAGCAGGCUGAGAGGGGAAUACAUAAAUGGUAGGAUGGCAGCCCUGCACGGUCCUUUGGGAGACAGACUGGCUUAUGGUUCUCCUUUUAUAGCAGGGCAUGCUACGGCACGGAAAUGGUUUUGUGGAGGCCCCAUGGUGAAUUCUUUAGCAGAGUCCAGAGGAAACUCAAGUCUCUACCUUUUCUACCUAGAGACAAGAAAAUGUUGGCCUUGCUGCCCGUGAAUGUAUCCACUGUGCUUGUUUUUAAAUUAAAUGGCAAACAAAGACCCUGAAAAAAAAAAACUGGAGCUUAUAUAGCAAUGAAAACAAUGGAUGCAGAGAUGUUCAUGAGCAGAUGUGAAAUUGAAAUUAGGAGGUUUUGUGAACAGAGCAUCAGUUUGGUGGGAAAUGGUUGUCUUGCAAGAAGAUUUUAUACCCUUUGUGAUGAAAAAAAUCAGAAUGCUUGUCAUAGGAAGUAGAAAAUACAAGACCAUGAAAUGGAAUUGUUCUGAUACAUUUGGUCCUCACUCUCAGUCAUUUCUACGUGAGUGUCUACUUGUCCGGCUUGAUCCACACAUCACCUGCCUCCAGCCUUUGAUUCUUUCCCAGUCUCUUGGUCUUCCUGCCUCUCAGGAUCCCCAUGUGUUCCUCUCUAUGGGACUUGUCUUUUUUAUUUCCAGUCAUCCAGAGUCCUAAUAAAGCCUUCAUGUUGAAAAAUCA